CGAAUGCUGACAUAAGUAACGAUAAAGCGGGUGAAAAGCCCGCUCGCCGGAAGACCAAGGGUUCCUGUCCAACGUUAAUCGGGGCAGGGUGAGUCGACCCCUAAGGCGAGGCCGAAAGGCGUAGUCGAUGGGAAACAGGUUAAUAUUCCUGUACUUGGUGUUACUGCGAAGGGGGGACGGAGAAGGCUAUGUUGGCCGGGCGACGGUUGUCCCGGUUUAAGCGUGUAGGCUGGUUUUCCAGGCAAAUCCGGAAAAUCAAGGCUGAGGCGUGAUGACGAGGCACUACGGUGCUGAAGCAACAAAUGCCCUGCUUCCAGGAAAAGCCUCUAAGCAUCAGGUAACAUCAAAUCGUACCCCAAACCGACACAGGUGGUCAGGUAGAGAAUACCAAGGCGCUUGAGAGAACUCGGGUGAAGGAACUAGGCAAAAUGGUGCCGUAACUUCGGGAGAAGGCACGCUGAUAUGUAGGUGAAGUCCCUCGCGGAUGGAGCUGAAAUCAGUCGAAGAUACCAGCUGGCUGCAACUGUUUAUUAAAAACACAGCACUGUGCAAACACGAAAGUGGACGUAUACGGUGUGACGCCUGCCCGGUGCCGGAAGGUUAAUUGAUGGGGUCAGCGCAAGCGAAGCUCUUGAUCGAAGCCCCGGUAAACGGCGGCCGUAACUAUAACGGUCCUAAGGUAGCGAAAUUCCUUGUCGGGUAAGUUCCGACCUGCACGAAUGGCGUAAUGAUGGCCAGGCUGUCUCCACCCGAGACUCAGUGAAAUUGAACUCGCUGUGAAGAUGCAGUGUACCCGCGGCAAGACGGAAAGACCCCGUGAACCUUUACUAUAGCUUGACACUGAACAUUGAGCCUUGAUGUGUAGGAUAGGUGGGAGGCUUUGAAGUGUGGACGCCAGUCUGCAUGGAGCCGACCUUGAAAUACCACCCUUUAAUGUUUGAUGUUCUAACGUGGACCCGUGAUCCGGGUUGCGGACAGUGUCUGGUGGGUAGUUUGACUGGGGCGGUCUCCUCCUAAAGAGUAACGGAGGAGCACGAAGGUUGGCUAAUCCUGGUCGGACAUCAGGAGGUUAGUGCAAUGGCAUAAGCCAGCUUGACUGCGAGCGUGACGGCGCGAGCAGGUGCGAAAGCAGGUCAUAGUGAUCCGGUGGUUCUGAAUGGAAGGGCCAUCGCUCAACGGAUAAAAGGUACUCCGGGGAUAACAGGCUGAUACCGCCCAAGAGUUCAUAUCGACGGCGGUGUUUGGCACCUCGAUGUCGGCUC
rnacentral:rRNA from 1 species